AUGUUCUCUGUAGCUCUGCUGCUGCUGGCCGCUGGAUGUGUGAAGUGUGAACAGCUGAAUCAGCCGGUCUCUGUGACUGUGCAGCCAGGUCAUCGUCUGACCAUCACCUGCCAGGUUUCUUAUGAUCUCAGCUACUGGACAGCUUGGAUCAGACAACCAGCAGGGAAAGGACUGGAAUGGAUCGGGAUGAAAUAUACUGGAGGCUCUCGCUACAAAGACUCACUGAAAACUAAGUUCAGUAUUGACUUGGACACUUCCAGUAAAACAGUGACUCUGAAUGGACAGAACAUGCAGCCUGAAGACUCUGCUGUGUAUUUCUGUGCCAGAUACCACAGUGACACAAACAUCUGCAGACCUGAACAAAAACCUCUCAGUGCCUUUACACUUGUGACAUGA